UUCACAAUGGGCGCAGCUGAUGGAUGCACGCCGCGUGUGUGAUGAAGGCUUUCGGGUCGUAAAGCACUGUUGUAUGGGAAGAAAUGCUAAAAUAGGGAAUGAUUUUAGUUUGACGGUACCAUACCAGAAAGGGACGGCUAAAUACGUGCCAGCAGCCGCGGUAAUACGUAUGUCCCGAGCGUUAUCCGGAUUUAUUGGGCGUAAAGCGAGCGCAGACGGUUGAUUAAGUCUGAUGCGAAAGCCCGGAGCUCAACUCCGGAAUGGCAUUGGAAACUGGUUAACUUGAGUGUUGUAGAGGUAAGUGGAACUCCAUGUGUAGCGGUGGAAUGCGUAGAUAUAUGGAAGAACACCAGUGGCGAAGGCGGCUUACUGGACAACAACUGACGUUGAGGCUCGAAAGUGUGGGUAGCAAACAGGAUUAGAUACCCUGGUAGUCCACACCGUAAACGAUGAAUACUAGGUGUUAGGAGGUUUCCGCCUCUUAGUGCCGAAGCUAACGCAUUAAGUAUUCCGCCUGGGGAGUACGACCGCAAGGUUGACAACUCAAAGGAAUUGACGGGGACCCGCACAAGCGGUGGAGCAUGUGGUUUAAUUCGAAGCAACGCGAAGAACCUUACCAGGGUUCUUGACAUCCUUUUGAAAGCCUUUUAGGACGAUAGGAAGUUGUUCCUCCUUCGGAGAACCAACGGUGCACACGGUG
rnacentral:rRNA from 1 species